ACCAAUCCCCCUCGACCUAGUUUCUUCCCGCCGCUGCCCUGCCGCCGGCCACCUCCCGGCGCCCCAGCUUCUUCCCUCGCUGCCGGCCACCUCCCGGCGCCCCGACUUCUUCCCUCGCCGUCGGCCACCUUCCCUCGCCCCGGCUUCUUGCCCUGCUGCCGGCCGCUUUCCCGCGCCCCGGCUUCUUGCCCUGCCGCCGGCCGCCUCCCCGCGCCCCGGCUUCUUGCCCCGCCGCCGGCCGCCUCCCCGCGCUCCGGCCAACGGCUAGAUCCAUCCGCCACGUUCCUGCGGCGCCCGCAGCCACGGCGCCCGGACCCCAUCUCCACCUAACCCCGGCGACCCCAACUAGGCGCUCCCAGCCGCAGCGCCACCGACCCCUGCACUAUGUCGUCCCAUCUCCUCGACACCGGCGGUUGUGCCAAACUGCACCGUUGUGGCCAGCUCUCCUGCAACCGGCGGCGACUCUCCCUUCCUCCAGCGCGACCAUCCGCCCUAGGUCGAGCAAGUUCAGAAAUUGCAGCGCCCUGUAGUUCGUGUUUUGCAGGAAUGAGUGAGUGCCUUCAUCCAAGACACGAGCGACGAUUCGGCCUUGGCAUGACAAACUGGUUCAGUUCGAUCUCGCACGAGUGGGCAGGUCCUCGAUGGCGUGUGCAUCAGUUCGACCCUACGGUCGAAGGUGAGCGUACUCCUGGCCGCCUUCCCGCCGACGGGCACGUUCCUCCAAUUGGUUGUCUUGCUUCCUCCUGCUUCUCUGCCAGCUAACAUCAGCUUAAUUCUUCUACUAGAAAAAAGGUGUGUGAAUACAAGAGGAUUGCAGUGAUAAAUUUUGGGCUGGGAUUUUUCUCUCUAGUAGAUCUUCUCUGACAUGCGGCUGCUGCAGCCACAGAAGCAUCGGCACCCUUGAUGGUGUACAGUUGCUGAAUCCCUGUGUGUCACCCAACUAAUGUUGCUUCCUGGCAUUUAGACAUGGUGCUACUGCUGCUGAUGCGUGCGUUGGCUCUUGCCACUAGUACUGCUGCUACUGAUGUGUGUCGCUAUUGGUCCGCUGCUGCUGAUGUACUUUCGCUCUUGUACUGACAGUUCAUGAAUUUAGGAAGCUGCAACCUUUGACAUUAUUCUGUACUGAGAUUUUGGUGCGAGAACAAGAACUUUGAGAGCAUGUGCAUGAACAAGUAGUUGUGCAUGGGUAGAAUUUAUUGAGGAUUCUAGAGAGCUGGGCAAGCCAAAAUAAAUCAUGCACUCACCCAAAAGUUCAGCGAAAACGUUUACCUCAGUUCAGACUCAAGAGUUGCUGGUUUUGGUAUUUCUUUACCUUCAUGUGCAGUAACAAAGUGUGUGCAUUUGGUGGUUUUGUGAAGGAGUUAAGCUUUUAUUUUAUUUUCAGUUCGGGUUUAUAAAUGGAAUAAAUUUAUGUAGAAUUCAAGGGACUUUGAUUAGAUUUGUACUGUUUGUUCAUGGAAAAGGAAUCUGCUCUUCUCUUUGUUGAAAUUACAAUAUGUAGUUUUGCUCUCAGCAUUGCAUUUCCACAUGUUUGUUAUAUUAAUUAUUAGUUUGUGUAUCUAGCCGACCGUGUUGUGUAUUCUGGUCAGUUCAUGUGUGUAUUGUGUUGCCCUCGAGCUAUAUGAGAGGCCGCCUGCGGAGCCGCGGAAGUCGCCAAUCUGGUCGAGGCAUGCUCUUAUUCUCUAUUUUUAGUAGCACAAAAAAUUGAAAGUUCAAAUGACAGACCUUGGUAAGUUCUCCUUGGCAAAACAUCAUCUCUCAUAUUUGUUCCUACUUUUGUAGGUUGCAGCAAAAACAAGAUGCACAAGUUCAUUUUUUUGUAUGCUUUUCAGUACAUCUACUUCCUGACGGUGAGUCAUAUUUCCUUUGUGUUUCCAUCUUCAUAUAUAGCACAAACAAGUGCUUGUGGUUAUGCUUCAGAAUGAGCAUCGUACUGCCUCUUGGUUCAGUUCAAUAUAUAAUUUGUGUUGUCGCCGGGAUGGAAUUAGGUGUGGUGUACCAUCAGUCACUACUGUUGAUUUAGCCAGUUUGGUAGUACAUGAUAGUGGGCAUCUCAAAAGUAUUUUUAUGUUUGAUGCAUGGCUUAUCUUGAUACUAGGCAUCAUGCCACUUUAUAAAAGACAUUUCAGGGAUCAGACCAUUCUACAGCCUAAAUAUUAAACUACACGCCACGAAAUUAGUACCUUUGUGCUUGCUAGGUGUUUGCAUAUGUCUCUAAGAACCAAACAAUACUAGUAACAUCCUAUAUAGGGCCGUGAGUGUGCUAUUAAGUUUGUUGAUAUGUUUCUUAAGGACAAAAAUAGAAAAAUUGCAUCCUUUCAGUUCAUCUUGGAGGUCAAGGACAAGUAAAUUUAGUGUCAUUGCUAAAAUGUAGGCGCUCGCCACUGUCAUCUCCGACCGGAUCCAGCCUGGCUCCCCCUGGUUUCUAACACGGCUUGUGCUGCUAUGGUGCUAGUGUGGAUGGGUAACAAGUUCAACUACGAGUCCAGACCAAGUUCUGGUAUGUUGCAUGUUUCCCACACAUUCCCUAGGAAAAAUACUUCUUAGCAUUCUACAGUUCUUUAGUUCAUUCAGAGAUAGGACUUGAUCUUAUCCAUGGAAACAGAGUAGAGAUAAAACAUUAGGGUGGCGAAGUUGACCUGCCCAAGACCAAAAUCGUAUUCAUAAUACUGAACUAGAGUAUAAGAUAAAAAAUUAGUCAAUAUGUUCAUCUUUUACAAACACGUACAUGCUCAAAAUUCUCGUUUGCAUGUUAUCUCAAAGACAACUAAGCAAAACUGAAAUUGACUGAUCAAGCCAUGGCACUAAAUUUCAGAUAUGACACAAAAUGGUAGAAGAAAUGAAAGUGACAUGCCAAGUCUGAAGGUGGUAAAUUUUGUAGUUAUCUGGUUAGUAGUUUACGCUUUCUUAAAUCUUCAGUUCUCUGGUUAGAUAAAUAAUUGUCAUCUUUGCAGAAAUGCUGGCAGUCUACAAAUUCUAUUAUUGGUAGUAGCUGUUCAAUGUAUAUAUUAGAAGAAGUAAAAAAGGAAAACAGUGGUGCCGUGCAUGAGGACAUGAGUUGGCACCACACAAAGCAGCAAAUAAUGUUGGUGGAGGCCAUUCUGUAGGCUGCCUUCAGUGCUCGUGCCACGGCAUUCACCGCCACCACUCCAGACCAUUCACCAUCGCCUCAUGAGUCUGUUCAACAACGGAGGGGGUGUCGCGCUGUGGGUGGACGUGGUGUUGCACUGGAGUCCUCGAUAGUUAGGGCUCCUUCAUAUAGGAGCACAGGCGGCGGCUGGCAAAAAUGCAUGACACAGCGCUCCACCAGCCUUCCUCCUCUCGCUGGGAGGCUGUUAGCCUGUUGUUGACUCCUGUGUGCGUUUAGGGGCUGCACGCCCAAGCCGUUCACCUCCACCACCGUAGGCCGUUCAACGAUGCAACCAUAGACCAUUCACCUUCGACCCCCAAUGUCGCACCAGAUCAAUGCACCCUUCAGUUCACCUUGUAGGCCUUUUCAGUUAACCUCGUAGGCUUUUUCGGGUUCACCUUGUAGGUUUGUAUGCUUUUUUCAGUUCAUCUUGUAUUGUAAUUUGCUGCCCAAUUUGCUGUUGCUAAAUGUUGUUAUAUGCUGACUACUAUAUAUUGACAUAAAAACUCAAAAUAGUUUAGACCAAAAAAACAAGUUCAGAGAAGCCAACUUGACAAGUCCACCUUAUAAUUUGUAUACUUUGUGGUUGUACUGCUGUAGUGUUUGCAUAAGCUCUGACAGGUUUGGGGCUUCACUUUGUUAAGAUUCAGGAGAUAAAUUUCCUAUUGUGGGAAGAAAUGUUGCGAUAUCAUCAUCAUAAUUAACUAUCAUCUAUUUUAUUUCCUGAAAAGACAAACUAGGUGUGUCAGUUCAGUAUGUAAACUAACAUCAGUACAUGGCCUCCUGCGCGGCGGGAUCCAUAGUUGGCCUCUUGCCAAGUUUUGCUGCAGCGCCCCGGCCAUUCACAGCCACCAGCUUGGGCCGUUCAACAACAUAGCGCUAAACUGUUCUACGCCAUAGCUCAGGAGGUGAAGGAGCUCCCCUUUGGUUCAUCUUGCAGGUUUGUUUCGGCAGUACAAACACUUUGCCAUUGUGAGUAUAGAUGUUUAUCGCCAUGUUCCAUGGUUUUUGUUUUCUUAUAUACUGCUGCUCCAUUCGAUUCCAUACUUAUAUGAGAAUAAUUGAUGGUCUAUAGGUGCUUGUUGAAAUGCUUAUGAGAACCAAUUUUUGUUGUUUGUUAUUUGGUAUAAUAUGGCAAAGAAAGGAUACCCUAUGUUGCCUCUUGCCAAAUAGCUUUAUUUGAAGUUCCAUUUUGCCAGCAAGUGUAUGGUUAGAUUCUCUUGAAAAUGUUAUAAAAGCCACAAGUGCUACAACGGUGCUGCCACACCUCCGGUUUCUCUUUGGUAUAUUUUCCAUAUGACUUGCACCAGUUCUUCAGUGCACGAUUCGACAAAAAGACCAUCAGUUCAAUUACUAAAUCACUAAAAAAUUGUAUUGCUACAAGUUCAAUUGUUUCAGUUCGAGCAGGUGCACAAAACACAAUGUCCUAGUCCGUACUAUCCACAUGUGUUGCAAGUUCAAGUGUUUCAGUUUGAACAUUUGCUACCCUAGUCAUUUGUUUGUUGCUACAAUGUCAUAGUCGUACUUCUCAUUCUUGCAUGAAACUUUUCUAUACCAUCGUGUUUAUUUCUAAAUGUCAGUCACUUUUUUUC